UGACCAAGUGCUGACAGCCUGGUGAUAAAGUAUCUAGAGCCUGGCGUGGCGGGAGAUGGGCCUUCCCCCUUUAUAAGCUCAGACUCUUAGUAAACUUUGGGGCCUUGAUCAGUAUCUUGUCUUGGUCUAAUUAUUUCUCCUGCCAUUUCCUCCCAUAUAGCUGCAGCCUCCCCUUCAGGAACCUGGUCCUUCUAGCUGCGGGCAGAUACAGAUGGCAUCCGAACAGGGACCUGAAUACAGAAGGAAGGACGGUCUGAGAGAACACUCUCUUGGUAGAGCUCUACAGGAAGAUUAAGAAGAAGAUGUAUCCCGCACAGUUGGUGACAUACUGCAACUGAUCCUGAUGCUGGAGUGUGACUGACUGACUGACUGAUGGGAGCUUCUGGGAAGGUUUGUCAGGUCUUGAUAGCCUGGCUGGCUCCUGCCCCUGUGCCCUCGGGGUAGACUUUGCACCCACCCCUCUGCUUGUUCCUCAAGUAUCUAGGUCUAUAGCACCUCUUGCCAUGAUUAGACCUGCUUUUUAGAUGAUCUACUUUGUGUGAGCCUGGCCUAUCUCUGUCCUGACCCUUCUCCCUAGCUUGAGACAAACUGCAUCUUCUCUUGCUCACUUUGUGCCUCUGGCCCUGACCUUAUAGAUGGCUCUUCUUAAGACCCCUCCUCCAUUCAAACUCCUCCUCCUGGGCUUCAAGUGCUUCCAGUGGUAGGGGAUUUGCCCCCAUUUACCUUAGGAUGUCUACAGGUGCCUCUGGAGGAGGUACAGAUAGGGACUCUAUGCCCUGUGGGCCUUUGACCUAUCAUUGGCAAGAAGUUCGCCUGGUGCUGGGUAGAGGACACUCAGUGCUCAGUAGCUUGAAGGCACAGUGGGAGACUAUCAGAGAACAUCUGGAGUACUUGUCCAGGUGCUCAGUUCUUUGGCUCCAGGAAGUGAUGCUGACCCUAGGCCCCUCCCACCCCAACUUGUUUUUAACUAAUUAAACUUUACUGUUUUUACUUAAGAUUCUGUGCUGAGCAGGUCUGUGUUUAUCCAGGCUCUAGUGCAGAAAUCAGAAGCUGGUCCCAAAUAUGACAAAAACAUGUAUGACCUCUUCAGGACAUUUCCACACUGGGAAGGGAGGUUACUGCUCUAUUUCAGCAGCAGAUUUCCCGGGGGAAGGUUUAGAAGAGAGGCUGUGUGGGAGCUGUUAACCCUGCACUGAGAAUAGGCCAAGAAGAAGUGAUGUCUCAUGGAAAAAGGGAGAUCGGUCAGUGAUGUAGCAGACAGUGUGUCACUGCAAGAAGCUCUGUACUACACUACCCACUGUGGGAGGAAGUGUACUUGCAUAGGAAUAUACCAGGUGAUGCAGGGAGCAGUAGGGAGGGGACCCAGGCCAGGAACUGGGAGUACAUCCUUCAGCUGAUCUACAGGAGAGGCACACUCUCCCUCACAAAGCCUCCAGCAGAUGGAAGAUAUAACUUUGAAGUGUGAAUCUAUAGAUGCCCUUCUAGAGCUGGCACUGUAGCUGAGUUGCUGACAUGCUUGCUAAGCACACACAGCUCUAAGUUUGAUCGCUCAGUAUUGCAUAAACAGUGUAUCAAGCUUGGCAUUGGUGACACAUGCCUUUAAUCCCAGCACUUGGAAGGAA